rnacentral:rRNA from 1 species
CCUUUAAUGUUUGAUGUUCUAACGUGGACCCGUGAUCCGGGUUGCGGACAGUGUCUGGUGGGUAGUUUGACUGGGGCGGUCUCCUCCUAAAGAGUAACGGAGGAGCACGAAGGUUGGCUAAUCCUGGUCGGACAUCAGGAGGUUAGUGCAAUGGCAUAAGCCAGCUUGACUGCGAGCGUGACGGCGCGAGCAGGUGCGAAAGCAGGUCAUAGUGAUCCGGUGGUUCUGAAUGGAAGGGCCAUCGCUCAACGGAUAAAAGGUACUCCGGGGAUAACAGGCUGAUACCGCCCAAGAGUUCAUAUCGACGGCGGUGUUUGGCACCUCGAUGUCGGCUCAUCACAUCCUGGGGCUGAAGUAGGUCCCAAGGGUAUGGCUGUUCGCCAUUUAAAGUGGUACGCGAGCUGGGUUUAGAACGUCGUGAGACAGUUCGGUCCCUAUCUGCCGUGGGCGCUGGAGAACUGAGGGGGGCUGCUCCUAGUACGAGAGGACCGGAGUGGACGCAUCACUGGUGUUCGGGUUGUCAUGCCAAUGGCACUGCCCGGUAGCUAAAUGCGGAAGAGAUAAGUGCUGAAAGCAUCUAAGCACGAAACUUGCCCCGAGAUGAGUUCUCCCUGAGACUUUAGGUCUCCUGAAGGAACGUUGAAGACGACGACGUUGAUAGGCCGGGUGUGUAAGCGCAGCGAUGCGUUGAGCUAACCGGUACUAAUGAACCGUGAGGCUUAACCUUACA